UGUUAUAUACAUAUAUUUUAAUCUCUGACAGCAUAGCAUUAUCGGUGUGAUAGGUGCACACAAGAAUGUCAGCCAGUAAUUUCAGGAGAGGUUCAACCAGUGACCAAUUUUCCACUUACCCCACAGCUCAAUGCAGUUCAGCAUUGGAUAAUCUAUGUUACUGUUAUCUCUUAUAUAAAGAGAUUGAGCAAAUUGGUUUGUAAUCACUGAAGGACAAUACAGUGAGUUAAUGAUGGGGAGCAAGAACUGUACUGUAAAUAAAUGUAUUGGUCUAAAAUCUCUAAGAUCUUUACUCUGUUUUUCUUAGCACUUGUUAAAGAGAUAAAAGGCAAAGUAGCUACAGUUUUUGCAUUCUGUACGAGAUGAAAAUAUAGUGUUUUUAUAGUGCCUUUGCAGGACGAUGUUGUUGUAGUUCAAUAUUGUCUGUACCUUUGGACACUAAAUUUCUCUCCCAAGCUUCUGACCUGUCUUUGUGCUUCUGACAGGGAAAAUUCCUACAGUCGUCAUCUUUAUAGAAUCCCUGAGUUAAUAACUUUUACAGCAAUAUUUUUCCUCCAUAAGUCUAACUGGAAUUUAACACUACUAUAAAUUCCAUGAGUCACAGAGAAUGGCAAAAAUGGUAGUAAGAGAGAAUCAGUUAUUAAAGAAAGCAUAAAGAUUUAUCUACAGCAUCUGAGAGAAGGAAUUAGAAACAAGAAAGUCCUAUGAUAAUAUUUUUUUGAGUUUCAUUUCCUCACUCUAUAAAUUAAAUCCCACUUGUCCCAGGGCCCUUCUCCAGUGUGUCUGGGUGAGGCAAUGCAACCCCUUGCUGCUUGCUCAAACUGCCCUAAAUCUGAUUUUGCUGGGUUUCUUUUUGCCUAUUUUGUUCCAAAAUUCUACAUCUAUUCUGGAACACCUCAGUAAGCCUGGUUCAACUUACACUUCUUAAGAUAGAGAUAAAAUGUCAGCAUUGAAUUUGCAAUAUUUGAUCACCAGCACUUAAGCAAGAGCCACUGUUCAUUUAAGUAAAGGGAAGUAAAAUCUUGCAGGAUUGCAUUAGCAUUUCUUCUGCAGUGCAGAAAGCCUGGCUGUAUAUGCAUAUAAAGUGUGGAAAAUACUAGUGAAAAUCUUCAGAUUCUUCCACAUUUUUUCAGCUUCUAAUACAAGCCUGCAGAGACAGCUGCUGUAAUUUUGAAUUCCUUUGGAAGAUGUGCCAUUCCAGUUAAAUAUCAGGUGAUACCCACCGCUAAUUAUGCAGGGGUGUAGGAAUCAAGGAUGUAGCUCUCUAUUCUGCACCAGCUGUUGGAAGCACUGCUCUCUAUGUCAAGCUGGACUUGAGAACUCAAGCUGGUGAAUACACAAAAAACAUGCAGUCUGUAACCGUGGCAGUUUUGCACCGAGAAGUCAUGGGGAUGGCUGGGUCAGAGGACAUGAAGUUCCUGUAAAGUCAAAAGGAAAGUGAAACGUGAGAUGGAGCAAUGAGCACUGAAAACAAUUGAUUGCAUCUUUGCUACAGAAGAGGGAUAAGAGCAAAUGAAAACUGGUGAGCUCGGUUUUGUAGGUUCCUCUUCAAGAUCACGCAAACCGCGGCCACCUGAAAGUUACCUUGUGUCACUUGCAACAAGGAAACUUUCCUCUUUCAUCGAGACACUUAACCUUCUCUGUGAAUGGGUUCUCUUAUCUAUUGUAACGUGCAAUAACUUCGUAACGUCUGUGCUUCAGUACUGGUGCCUUAAGAUUCAUCAGUCUGCGACCACCUCAGACAAAAGCAUCUUGACUGUAACUGGAACAGACCACGGAGAUUACAUUCAUUUCAGUAGCCCUGUCAGCAGUGUAUAUCCCUACAAAGAUGGCGAGCUUCUUCCCCUGCGUAUGUGCUCUGUUAGCUACUGAUGUCUU